rnacentral:rRNA from 1 species
GUGAAAAGCACCCCGGGAGGGGAGUGAAACAGUACCUGAAACCGUGCGCCCACGAGCAGUCGGAGCAACUUUACGUUGUGACGGCGUGCCUUUUGUAGAAUGAGCCAGCGAGUCGCUGGCGCGGGGCGAGGUUAACCGAAAGGGAGCCGGAGCGAAAGCGAGCCUUAACAGGGCGACUUGAGUCCCGCGCCGCGGACGCGAAGCCGGGUGAGCUAUCCGUGGGCAGGCUGAAGCGGGGGUAAGACCCCGUGGAGGGCCGAACGCACGUCGGUUGAAAACGGCGGCGAUGACCUGCGGAUAGGGGUGAAAGGCCAAUCAAACCCGGAGAUAUCUCGUUCUCCCCGAAAUAGCUUUAGGGCUAGCGUCGCGCGUUCACCGCCGGAGGUAGAGCACCGGAUGGACGAGGGGGCUUCGCCGCCUACCGAAUCCAACCGAACUCCGAAUGCCGGCGGCCCAGAGCGCGGCAGUCAGAGCAUGUGGGCUAAGCUGUGUGCUCGAGAGGGAAACAGCCCGGACCGCCCGCUAAGGUCCCCAAGUUCCAGCCGAGUGGCAAAGGAUGUGCGUCCGCCCAGACAACCAGGAUGUUGGCUUAGAAGCAGCCAUCCAUUCAAAGAGUGCGUAACAGCUCACUGGUCGAGUGGACAUGCGCCGACAAUACACGGGGCUAAGCUGGACACCGAAGCGGCGGGAUUUUAAUUCAUUAGAAUCGGUAGGGGAGCUUCCCAUGGGCGGAGAAGCCGGAGGGCGACCGACGGUGGAGCGCAUGGGAGUGAGAAUGCUGGCAUGAGUAGCGAGAGACGAGAGAGUAACUCGUCCGCCGUGAACCCGAGGUUUCCUGGGCAAGGCUAAUCCUCCCAGGGUCAGUCGGGGGCUAAGGCGAGGCCGGUAGGCGUAGCCGACGCGCAGCAGGCAGACAUUCCUGCACCGCGCACGCGGCGCUACGACCGACGGGGCGACGGAUGGGGGUGGCUCGGCGGGGUUCUGGACGUCCCCGUGAUGGAGCGCGGCCCGCGGACCAGGGAAAUCCGGUCCGCAUCAAGGGCGAGGCUCCGGACGAAGCGACUGAGCGAAGCGAGUGAGCCCGAGGUCCCUAGAAAAACCCCUAGGCAGGCGCGUGCGCGCCCGUACCGCAAACCGACACAGGUGGGUGGGUAGAACAUACCGAGGCGAUCGGGUCAACCAUGGUCAAGGAACUCGGCACAAUGGCCCCGUAACUUCGGGAGAAGGGGUGCCCGCGCGUACGUGAACCGGCUUGCCCGGGGAGCGGAGGCGGGCCGCAGUGGAGAGGCCCAAGCGACUGUUUACCAAAAACACAGGACUCUGCAGAAGCCGCAAGGCGACGUAUAGGGUCUGACGCCUGCCCGGUGCCGGAAGGUCACGCGGAGGAGUUAGCCAUUUCGGCGAAGCCCCGAAGCCAAGCCCCGGUAAACGGCGGCCGUAACUAUAACGGUCCUAAGGUAGCGAAAUUCCUUGUCGGGUAAGUUCCGACCUGCACGAAAGGCGCAACGACUUGGGCGCUGUCUCGACCAUGGACCCGGUGAAAUUGCACUGGUCGUGAAGAUGCGACUUACCCGCGGAAGGACGGAAAGACCCCGUGAACCUUCACUGCAGCUUGGCAUUGGCCGCUGGUCCCGCGUGUAGAGGAUAGGCAGGAGGCAUCGAUCCGGAGGCGCCAGCCCCCGGGGAGCCGCCCUUGGAAUACUGCCCUCGCGCGACCGGCGUCCUAACCCGAGGCCGUCAACCGGCUCGGGGACCGUGCCAGGCGGGCAGUUUGACUGGGGCGGUCGCCUCCUAAAGGGUAACGGAGGCGCGCGAAGGUCCGCUCGGGACGGUCGGCAACCGUCCUUUUGAAUGCAAGAGUACAAGCGGGCUUGACUGCGAGGCCCACAAGCCGAGCAGGUGCGAAAGCAGGCUCUAGUGAUCCGGCGGCCCCGAGUGGGUGGGCCGUCGCUCAACGGAUAAAAGGUACUCCGGGGAUAACAGGC